rnacentral:rRNA from 1 species
ACGGUCCUAAGGUAGCGAAAUUCCUUGUCGGGUAAGUUCCGACCUGCACGAAUGGCGUAAUGAUGGCCAGGCUGUCUCCACCCGAGACUCAGUGAAAUUGAACUCGCUGUGAAGAUGCAGUGUACCCGCGGCAAGACGGAAAGACCCCGUGAACCUUUACUAUAGCUUGACACUGAACAUUGAGCCUUGAUGUGUAGGAUAGGUGGGAGGCUUUGAAGUGUGGACGCCAGUCUGCAUGGAGCCGACCUUGAAAUACCACCCUUUAAUGUUUGAUGUUCUAACGUUGGCCCGUAAUCCGGGUUGCGGACAGUGUCUGGUGGGUAGUUUGACUGGGGCGGUCUCCUCCUAAAGAGUAACGGAGGAGCACGAAGGUUGGCUAAUCCUGGUCGGACAUCAGGAGGUUAGUGCAAUGGCAUAAGCCAGCUUGACUGCGAGCGUGACGGCGCGAGCAGGUGCGAAAGCAGGUCAUAGUGAUCCGGUGGUUCUGAAUGGAAGGGCCAUCGCUCAACGGAUAAAAGGUACUCCGGGGAUAACAGGCUGAUACCGCCCAAGAGUUCAUAUCGACGGCGGUGUUUGGCACCUCGAUGUCGGCUCAUCACAUCCUGGGGCUGAAGUAGGUCCCAAGGGUAUGGCUGUUCGCCAUUUAAAGUGGUACGCGAGCUGGGUUUAGAACGUCGUGAGACAGUUCGGUCCCUAUCUGCCGUGGGCGCUGGAGAACUGAGGGGGGCUGCUCCUAGUACGAGAGGACCGGAGUGGACGCAUCACUGGUGUUCGGGUUGUCAUGCCAAUGGCACUGCCCGGUAGCUAAAUGCGGAAGAGAUAAGUGCUGAAAGCAUCUAAGCACGAAACUUGCCCCGAGAUGAGUUCUCCCUGACUCCUUGAGGGUCCUGAAGGAACGUUGAAGACGACGACGUUGAUAGGCCGGGUGUGUAAGCGCAGCGAUGCGUUGAGCUAACCGGUACUAAUGAACCGUGAGGCUUAACCUU